AUUGAACGCUGGCGGCAGGCUUAACACAUGCAAGUCGAGCGGAGAUGAGGUGCUUGCACCUUAUCUUAGCGGCGGACGGGUGAGUAAUGCUUAGGAAUCUGCCUAUUAGUGGGGGACAACAUUCCGAAAGGAAUGCUAAUACCGCAUACGUCCUACGGGAGAAAGCAGGGGAUCUUCGGACCUUGCGCUAAUAGAUGAGCCUAAGUCGGAUUAGCUAGUUGGUGGGGUAAAGGCCUACCAAGGCGACGAUCUGUAGCGGGUCUGAGAGGAUGAUCCGCCACACUGGGACUGAGAAGCGGCCCAGACUCCUACGGGAGGCAGCAGUGGGGAAUAUUGGACAAUGGGGGGAACCCUGAUCCAGCCAUGCCGCGUGUGUGAAGAAGGCCUUAUGGUUGUAAAGCACUUUAAGCGAGGAGGAGGCUACUGAGACUAAUACUCUUGGAUAGUGGACGUUACUCGCAGAAUAAGCACCGGCUAACUCUGUGCCAGCAGCCGCCGCAGUAA
rnacentral:rRNA from 1 species